UACGUAGGUGGCAAGCGUUAUCCGGAAUUAUUGGGCGUAAAGAGCGCGCAGGUGGUUGAUUAAGUCUGAUGUGAAAGCCCACGGCUUAACCGUGGAGGGUCAUUGGAAACUGGUCGACUUGAGUGCAGAAGAGGGAAGUGGAAUUCCAUGUGUAGCGGUGAAAUGCGUAGAUAUGUGGAGGAACACCAGUGGCGAAGGCGACUCUCUGGUCUGUAACUGACGCUGAGGCGCGAAAGCGUGGGGAGCAAACAGGAUUAGA
rnacentral:rRNA from 1 species